UACGUAGGGGGCAAGCGUUGUCCGGAAUCAUUGGGCGUAAAGCGCGCGUAGGCGGCCCUGUAAGUCCGUUGUGAAAGUCAAAGGCUCAACCUUUGAAAGCCGAUGGAUACUGCAGGGCUAGAGUCCGGGAAGAGGCGAGUGGAAUUCCUGGUGUAGCGGUGGAAUGCGCAGAUAUCAGGAGGAACACCAAUAGCGAAGGCAGCUCGCUGGGACGGUACUGACGCUAAGGGCGCGAAAGCGUGGGGAGCAAACAGG
rnacentral:rRNA from 1 species